UAGCCAGCACAACAGUAGAUUUUAUGCGAUAGAAAGCAACAUCUGAACCCUUUUCCCUUGCUUUAGCAGAGGCGUUUCGUAACAAAUCAUUUCUAGCAGUCCUUCCGAAAUGACAAAGUUUACACAGGCAUGACAAAUGCAGGACUUGAUUUCUGUUAAAUGUUGAUUUUACUUUAGUGUCCCCAAUUUAGUGCUCCAGCGCUAGAACGACUAGGCAGUUACAUAUUACGAGUUCCAAUAUUUUCCUCUUCGACGAGACUGUUGUACGUGACUCAGUUAUGCGUACUGGUUGAAACUCAGCACAUAAUUGGUUCAUAUUUUAAUUUAGAAAUAACCGGAUGCGCUGUCGUGACAAAAACAUGACAACUUUGCACGAUCGAAAGGCAUCGUACACUGCUCUUCCUUAGUCCAAACAAAUAAUAACAAAGAGGCUGCGAGCACAAAAGGUGUUUAAGCUGUGUAUGUUGUUUUUUACUGCGGUGCAAGUGCCUGACAAAAAGUUGAAGGUUCUGCUGAAAAAAGUAAGUAAGCUUUUAAUACGCAUAAUAAUAUGUGAAGAGAUCAAGAAAGAAGAGGGCAAUGCAGAUUUCAUGCCCAAGUCUCACACCUGUUCAAAUACUAUGCAUCUACCAUGUGGAUCAGCAGGAUUCUCUCUUCCAUCAGAUAGAGAAUUAUUUUCCCUUUAUGAUUAUGCUUUCAAAAACACGUAUUUUGGCAUUGUGUAGUUCCAACAUCAGUUGAAGGAAAACUCUAAAUGCACAUGAAGAGUUAGGUUUCGUUGUUAUGUUAUGUUGAAAUUGUAAGGACAUGGUUCCAGAAGUGUUGUAGAAAUCUUUAUGUCCCUUUGAUUGUAAGGGAUUUAAUACUGUCUCAGUAUAUGUUAUAUACAGAGCAGUUUAUGAGCAACUGCCUGUCCUUUGCCACAGAUUUUGCCACUCUUUGUUGAAAUUGUUCUGUUUAUGUUGACAAAGGGUGCCUCUUUUACAUUGUUUUGCAUACAUAUUCAGAUGAGGACUUGGGAAUGAAGGAUAUUACUUUGUGUGAAGGAAUUGGUGUAUUCUGAGCUACUCCAGGCACCAGUUGUUCAAAAGGUGGAUAACGUGAUCCACGGGAUAUAUCACUAUACAUAGCCUAGUGCAAUUGAUUUCAUUGUUACUUAUCCAUCGGAUAGUGAUUUACCUGGCGGAUAGCACUGUCCGUCAUAUGAACAACUGGGGCCAGGUGUUUCUAUUAUGAAGCACACCCGUAGCACAUGCCUAGCUAAUGCCAGUCUCUUAUGCAAGUCAAUAAAAAAAUCCCUGUGGCACAAACUGAUAAACUAAGAUAUUUUAUCAAGUACUAAAGAAAACUUUUCCUUCUUUAUUGAUGGUGUUUAUAGUCCAUUACCAAGUUAUCUUUGGAAAUGUCUAGUAGCAGUUUAGAACAUCCUCUAGUAACAUGAAUUAAAAAGGUAGAACAGCUCAGACCACAGAUUUCCAAGUGAAUAAAAAAACCAUCUAUACAAAGUGCAGGGCAUAAACAACCGCUGCUAUUCUUACACAAUAACAUAAACAUUUUCUGAUUGAUGAAAAUGUAACUAGUGACCUAGCCUUCCUUCAAGUAAGAAAGUAGACUUGUACUAUAUGUAUGUAACAUUUACAAAUUGUAUUCCUCUAAUCGCUGCACUAUAAUUGUGAGAGUUUCAGCAUAUAUGUCUAUUCCAAAACUAGAAGACUCUUGUAAGGGAUCAAUAGAGUUACACAAAUAGGCUGUCAGUUCA